rnacentral:rRNA from 1 species
AACGAACGCUGGCGGCAGGCCUAACACAUGCAAGUCGAGCGCGUAGCAAUACGAGCGGCAGACGGGUGAGUAACGCGUGGGAAUCUACCUCGUGGUUCGGAGCAACUCGGCGAAAGCUGAGCUAAUACCGGAUAUGUCCUUCGGGAGAAAGAUUUAUCGCCAUGAGAUGAGCCCGCGUCGGAUUAGCUAGUAGGUGGGGUAACGGCCCACCUAGGCGACGAUCCGUAGCUGGUCUGAGAGGAUGAUCAGCCACACUGGGACUGAGACACGGCCCAGACUCCUACGGGAGGCAGCAGUGGGGAAUAUUGGACAAUGGGGGCAACCCUGAUCCAGCCAUGCCGCGUGAGUGAUGAAGGCCUUAGGGUUGUAAAGCUCUUUCGCCCGCGAAGAUAAUGACGGUAGCGGGAGAAGAAGCCCCGGCUAACUUCGUGCCAGCCGCCGCCGUAAUAC